rnacentral:rRNA from 1 species
GACGAACGCUGGCGGCGUGCUUAACACAUGCAAGUCGAACGGAAAGGCCUCUUUCGGGGGGUACUCGAGUGGCGAACGGGUGAGUAACACGUGAGUAACCUGCCCUUGACUUUGGGAUAACUUCGGGAAACUGGGGCUAAUACCGGAUAGGAGCUCCUGCUGCAUGGUGGGGGUUGGAAAGUUUCGGCGGUUGGGGAUGGACUCGCGGCUUAUCAGCUUGUUGGUGAGGUAGUGGCUUACCAAGGCUUUGACGGGUAGCCGGCCUGAGAGGGUGACCGGCCACAUUGGGACUGAGAUACGGCCCAGACUCCUACGGGAGGCAGCAGUGGGGAAUAUUGCACAAUGGGUGGAAGCCUGAUGCAGCAACGCCGUGUGCGGGAUGACGGCCUUCGGGUUGUAAACCGCUUUCGCUCAUGACGAAGCUUUGUGUGACGGUAGUGGGUAAAGAAGCACCGGCUAACUACGUG